UACGUAGGGUGCAAGCGUUAAUCGGAAUUACUGGGUGUAAAGGGCUCGUAGGCGGCCAACUAAGUCAGACGUGAAAUCCCCAGGCUUAACCUGGGAACUGCGUCUGAUACUGGAUGGCUUGAAUCCGGGAGAGGGAUGCAGAAUUCCAGGUGUAGCGGUGAAAUGCGUAGAUAUCUGGAGGAAUACCGGUGGCGAAGGCGGCAUCCUGGACCGGCAUUGACGCUGAGGAGCGAAAGCUAGGGGAGCAAACGGG
rnacentral:rRNA from 1 species